AGCGAACGCUGGCGGCAGGCUUAACACAUGCAAGUCGAGCGCCCCGCCAGGGGAGCGGCAGACGGGAGAGUAACACGUGGGAACAUACCUUUUCGUUCGGAACAACUGAGGGAAACUUCAGCUAAUACCGGAUAAGCCCUUACGGGGAAAGAUUUAUCGCCGAAAGAUUGGCCCGCGUCUGAUUAGCUAGUUGGUGAGGUAACGGCUCACCAAGGCGACGAUCAGUAGCUGGUCUGAGAGGAUGAUCAGCCUCACUGGGACUGAGACACGGCCCAGACUCCUACGGGAGGCAGCAGUGGGGAAUAUUGGACAAUGGGGGCAACCCUGAUCCAGCCAUGCCGCGUGAGUGAUGAAGGCCUUAGGGUUGUAAAGCUCUUUUGCCCGGGAAGAUAAUGACGGUACCGGGAGAAUAAGCCCCGGCUAACUUCGUG
rnacentral:rRNA from 1 species